rnacentral:rRNA from 1 species
CCUACGGGAGGCAGCAGUAGGGAAUAUUGCUCAAUGGGGGAAACCCUGACGCAGCAACGCCGCGUGGAGGAUGAAGGUUUUAGGAUUGUAAACUCCUUUUGUUAGAGAAGAUUGUGACGGUAUCUAACGAAUAAGCACCUGCUAACUCCGUGCCAGCAGCCGCCGUAAUACGGAGGGUGCAAGCGUUACUCGGAAUCACUGGGCGUAAAGAGUGCGUAGGCGGAGUAAUAAGUCAGAUGUGAAAUCCUGUAGCUUAACUACGGAACUGCAUUGGAAACUGUUACUCUGGAGUGUGGGAGAGGUAGGUGGAAUUCUUGGUGUAGGGGUAAAAUCCGUAGAGAUCAAGAGGAAUA